UGUUGAAGGUUCAAAAUCCAC
ensembl:piRNA 21ur-1552 ncRNA